AGGAACUUGAACACUGUCAGUUUUGGCCGAGGUUGAGUUCAGUUGCGAAUAACAAUAAUGCUCUUCCCAGUGUUUUGUCUAGUGAUGGGGUUUUGUGUGCAAUACUCAACAGCAAGACGACUGGUCGAGAAUGGCAACUUUGCCAAAUCCGUCAUGUCAGAAAUGAGGAAUGAGCUUACUACGAAAUUGCACAUUAGUUGGAUCAUCAAGCCCAGAAACUGAACCAACUCAUAACGGAGCAGGGGACUCAAUCUGGUGACAGUGCCACUCAAACCUUAGAAGAGGUGGUCUGGAACUUUGAAUGUUCCAAGCCCCCUCACACCACAAAAAUGUGUGCACAUGUUGGGGGGAAGCACUACUUCAUUGACUACCUCCGAAUUGCCACCUGGUCAGAGGCCGAAAGUUUUUGCCGCCAAAUGGGAGGACACCUGGCCAGUUUGCAGAGCAAUCAGGAGUGGCAAGCACUUGAAGAGAUAGUCAACCAUAGCCAAUUCUUUUGGGUAGAUAUCAAUGACACAGUGACCAAGGGUAAAUACAUGUCCGAAACCACCGGCGAGAAUGCUAGCUUUUUGAAGUGGGAUUACAACGAACCGAAUAAUUGGAACGGAGAUGAGCGCUGUGUUUAUCUAAAGGCUGUAACUUUUUUAAUGAAUGACGCCCCAUGCAGCUCGAGCUACAAUUUUAUCUGUGAACGGUAACAAAGUAAAGAGACUCAAUUCGGGUAUAAAGUAAAUAAGUUCAUAUCUUCAGACUGGUUUUUUCAUAAUAGUUUGUUUAAUUAAUUACGAAAAUUGGGGGAAAAGAUAACAUGUAAGUAAUUAUCAAAAUCAAAUCUUAUUUUAAUUAUGUCAACUAAUUUGAGAAAAAAGAUGAGGAUAGAUCAUAUUAGUUUUAAUUCAUGAAAUAUUUGCAGUCGAAAAUUUCUGGUUGAUAAGAUCUGAAGACGAGUAAAUGAGCGAGGGCCGCCAUUUCAAUAGAAUUUUCUGAUUAUGGAAUUUGAGCGCAUUUUUAAUUUUUGGCCGGGCUUUGGGGUUGCCCUAUUGCGGUCCCCCAGUAACCUAUAAACUUAAAAGACCGGCAUGAGUGCGUCGCAGGUACACCGAAAACGGGAAUUACGUGACGGAAACGGUAGCGUCAAGAUGUGAGAAAUAGUCGAACGAGCGACUAGAGAGCUGUACAUUAAUUUAAGAAAAGCCACAUUAAAAGCGUCGUCUGCAACAAAUUAAAUUUUUCCACGACCAUCCUUCUGAUUUGCCGGCAGGCGAGUGCUUAAGUUAAGAGGCUGUAAAAGUCAAGCGAUGAGUGAAAAGUGAAAGUAGGGGAAGUACCCAAAAGUCUUUCAAUUCAGGGACGGGGGUGCUGGAAGCGGAAAGCUGAAAACGGGGGACAGGUGGGGCUAACGGCCCAUAAAAACCAUUUCCCAAGUGGAGUAAAUGGGAAAGGAAUCUUAAAUCAAAAUCAUUAAAUCUUUUAAUGUAUAUUUUAAUAUAAGAAGUCACCUAAAAGUAAAGAGUUUCACAAAGCACAAUAUGUGUUAGUUUAAGAAAACCCUUUUACUGUGAGAUUUUCUGAUUCUAUACAAAAUAAAACUAGAUAUGCAUUUAAUUUAAA